AUUUCUUUGUAGCAAUACUAAGGGAUGAUAGUGGCGGAAGGGCGAGUAAUGCGAGAGCAAGCUACCCCUCGAACUGGGACAACGUUUGGAAACGAACGCUAAUACCGGAUACGAAGCGCGGUCGAAUGGCCGUGUCUUGAAAGGUGGGGACCCGCAAGGGCCUGCCGUCGAAGGAGGCGCUCCCGUGCCAUCAGCUAGUUGGUGAGGUAAUGGCUCACCAAGGCUUACGGCUAGGUGGACUGAGAGGUCGGUCACCCGCACUGGGACUGAGACACUGCCCAGACUCCUACGGGAGGCUGCAGUCGAGGAUCAUUCGCAAUGGGCGAAAGCCUGACGAUGCGACGCUGCGUGUAGGAUGAAGGCCUUCGGGUCGUAAACUACUGUCAUGUGGGGCAAGGGAGCCGGUACUAAUAGUGCCUGGCUUUUGAUGGUACCACAAGAGGAAGCCACGGCUAACUCUGUGCCAGCAGCCGCGGUAAUACAGAGGUGGCGAGCGUUGUUCGGAUUUACUGGGCGUAAAGCGUGCGUAGGCGGUCGCGUAUGUCGGAUGUGAAAUCCCGGGGCUCACCCCCGGAAGUGCAUCCGAAACUGCGUGGCUAGAGGCCGGGAAGGGUGACUGGAACACAUGGUGUAGCGGUGAAAUGCGUUGAUAUCAUGUGGAACACCGGAGGCGAAGGCGAGUCACUGGAACGGAUCUGACGCUAAGGCACGAAAGCGUGGGGAGCAAACAGGAUUAGAUACCCUGGUAGUCCACGCUGUAAACGGUGCACAUUUGCCGUAGGGGGAAUUGACCCCCCCUGUGGCGU
rnacentral:rRNA from 1 species